CUACGGGGGGCAGCAGUGGGGAAUAUUGGACAAUGGGGGCAACCCUGAUCCAGCCAUGCCGCGUGUGUGAAGAAGGCCUUUUGGUUGUAAAGCACUUUAAGCGAGGAGGAGGCUACUGGUACAAAUAUUACCAGCUAGUGGACGUUACUCGCAGAAUAAGCACCGGCUAACUCUGUGCCAGCAGCCGCGGUAAUACAGAGGGUGCGAGCGGUAAUCGGAAUUACUGGGCGUAAAGCGCGCGUAGGCGGUUUGUUAAGUCGGAUGUGAAAUCCCCGGGCUCAACCUGGGAAUUGCAUUCGAUACUGGCAAGCUAGAGUAUGGGAGAGGAAGGUAGAAUUCCAGGUGUAGCGGUGAGAUGCGUAGAGAUCUGGAGGAAUACCGAUGGCGAAGGCAGCCUUCUGGCCUAAUACUGACGCUGAGGUGCGAAAGCAUGGGGAGCAAACAGGAUUAGAUACCCCUGUAGUC
rnacentral:rRNA from 1 species